rnacentral:lncRNA from 1 species
CCCUAUUGAGAAAGAGAUCAGAAUGAUGACACGGCCCUACUGAAAAAGAGAAAUUAUAUGGGUAGGGUCGGAAUAAUGACACGAUCCUACUAGAAAAUAGAAAUUUUAUGGAUAGGGUUGGAAUGAUGGCACAACCCUACACAAAUAAGAAAGUAGACACCAAAAAGAAUGGUGCUAUGCAAAUCAAAAAUGAAAAAGUAGUCACCGAAAAGAUGGCACAGUGAGAUAUGAGAAAGUAGUCACUAGAAUGAUGCACGGUGCUACACAAAUAAGAUAUGAAAAAA